GAAAACUUGGAAACUACCGUUGGAUCGAGAAAUGGACGUCCGAGAUUCGUCCACAUCACCAUGAGUUAAAAUUUAAAAUUUAAAUUUUAACUCAUGGUGACGUGGACGAAUCUCGGACGUCCAUUUCUCGAUGCAACGGUAGUUUCCAAGUUUCC
rnacentral:pre_miRNA from 1 species